AUAUAUUUUGAUAGUGUGACGACUCCUGACGAUUUUAAAAUGUUUUCUUUUAUAGUUAUGGAUCCUGAACGAGCUAGUACAGAUGAAGUAGAGAGUAAUGCACCUAUUCCCGCAGAAGGGACGGUGCCAUCAGAUGUUAUAUCAGUCCCAUAUUUCCUAAGUGUUCUGUUUCGUCUACUGGGCCUCUGCUAAAAAAAAAUGUUACAAGAUAAAAGAUUAUCUUUGAUUCAAUGAUGAAUGAUUAUAAAGGAAAAAUAAGUUACAAAGUUGUGAAUAAAGAAGUAUGUAUUUGUAAUAAAAUAAUUUAAAGUUGUGAAUAAGUAAAUGUUAUUUAGUUCUGUAUGGAGAUUUAAAAUAGUAAUCCUUAUAGAUAAGGAUGAAAAUAUACAUUUAUACACUUAAAAGAGUAACCUUGAUAAAUGAGAAAUGUUUUACUAAUAGACAAAAAUGUCUCCAAUUGAUCUAGUUCCGACAGUGAUGAAAGUGAUAUUUGAGUAUUUGAUAGAGAAAGGG
rnacentral:lncRNA from 1 species